GUUGAGUCUAGACCUGAAGUCGGUUCGUCGAGGAAGAGGAGAGCUGGUCCAUGAAUUAUGUCCACUCCAAUUGAAACUCUUCGACGCUCGCCACCUGACACUCCUCGAGUCCCUUCAUCACCUAUUUUUAGGGCCGAAUGGAGAAUAAAAGGGAGGUGAAAAGCUUGACUGUAAACUGGCUGGCUCCUGCAGGGAAGAAUGUCUGAGGAGGUAAUCCCAAUGUAUAUAACAUAAUCAAUUUUGUUUUCAUUGCAAAAUCCAAAUGAAAUAUCUUGUUUACAAAUGAAAAAUCUUGUUUUCUUCAUCAACUGAUUUUAACCUGUACUGUUUUUAACUA